UCCCACCUGCCGGGAAGAAAACCCCACUGUGCCCGGCAAAAUGGACACAAGAACACUGAGUCUGCCAGGGCACAGAGACAAAUGAGGAAGCCAUAACUGCACCAAUUACACAACCCGGAGUCCUAACAGAUAACAAACACAAGCGAAUUAUACUCUCGGUUAAAUUCAGCGAUGAAUACUAACUCUGAAGACUUUCUUGUAAAUUGAAAAAUACGACAAUCAACAAAAGGUUCCACUAUGGACUCCAUGAAAAGUCUGCAAAUGUUUAGUCUGACUGUGGCUGGCUGUGUUUGGGGAAGGGCUGAGAAGGCUCCGUGUGUAUUGCUGGGGAUCGAACCCAGAGCCUCAAGAAUGCUUGCAAAUGUUCUAAUGUUCAGCUGCAUCCCCAGGCCUCAAAGACGUUAAAGAACAGUAAGCAAGGAGUAGAACAGAGACCACUGGUGGGGACAAGCCUAAGAUCUAAGUCCUUAAGGGAAAGGAGCGCCCUCGCUGCGGCCGGUUCCGUCCAUGGGUAGAACUGUCUGCUACAGGUCUGAGAGUACAGAUGUGAUCAAAGUACAGGGGAAGCAGACCAACCAACGCCACUGGGGAAAUGCUCUAAUCAAGUUCCAAGCAGAUCUCUUUGCUGCAGGAAGCCCCCAGGAACUCCGGUAACCAGCCCUUCAGACCAUGACGGAAUUAUGCAACUGGCUUUCCUGGGGUUUCUACCUGUAGACAGCAGAUCACAGAACAUACUCCCUGCUAUCAUCCUCCAGAGUCAUAGGCAGCAGCCAGAAUUGAUCUGUGAUCUGUUUCCGUCUUACAAAACCAUGCCGAGAGCCACAGUGUGCUUGCAGCGGGGAGCAAACGGAAAUACUCAAGAGUCAGUUUCCUCAUACACAGGAGACAUGUGUGAAGCAAGGAUCACUGACCCAGCUACACAGAUAAUUCUUAUGACUGAUAACUGCACUCUCUGCCAUAGCCCACCGCAGACGGCACAGGGCAGCUGACAAGAAAAAUCACCAACUUCUACUAGUAGCUCCUGGGAGGACCAGAGAGAGAGAGCUUCCCUUCAACCCUCUUUCUUCAACAAGUUUGACAGUACAUUCAUUGUUUCUUAGGGUGGGAAGUAAACUCCUCAAAGACAGCAUUCUCUUCAGUGGUACAGUCAUUGGUAAACGGUGCCUGCUGCUCCUGUAAAUAAACCCUCAUCCAUGUUCCUGUUUGGCAACAAAUAGUCUUCAAGCCAGGCUCCUGUUGGCGUGGGAACACUGAAGAAAAGUCACACUCUAUUCAAUAAAUACACAGAUACUGCUUCCUCGAGUCUAUUGGAACAAUACAGCAAAGACGGACUCUGCCUGAGACCAAGUCUAAAGUGGUAUUUACAGAGAAAAGCAGGUCCCACCUUAUGCCGCACACCCUAAGGGGGCUCCCUAUGAUAUAGACUCCCGCAGCUGGGGGAACCGCACCAAAGGCCAACCUUUC